ensembl:lncRNA
GGGACGACGGUCACCGCAUGAAUGGCUGCCUGGACGACGAGUGCAGCAAGACGGACCAAUGAACUCCUCAAAGUGCAACGUUUUCACUCUGAAACAGGUAGACGUUACGCCAUUGUGUCAUCUCCGAGAGGACGGCGUCGUAGACGGAACAAACCGGGGUGUGGUUGGACGACAGUCGAGACACUGGAGUUCCGUGGGCGGAGCUGAUAUGCUGCAGAUAAUGAUGUCAUUUCCUGCCAUUUGAACCAUUUGCGCAAGCAGAACAUUUCACUUGUGGUGGGGCCGGGGGCGGAGCCUCGUGUUUUUGUGUCGAAUAUUUCAGAUAUGUUCUUUAAUUAUUUACUUAACGUUUUGAUAGCUGAACAAAGCCUGAGUGUUUGAUUUUAUAUAUAUUUUCUGUCCUGCUGUAAACAUUAUAAACGCCAUCCAGAUGUAUAGAAGUGACGUUUAGUUGAUGAAACAGUUUACGGGAAAUGUUUCUUUGAGUAAGCAUCGCUGUAGAAAUGUCGUCAUCGCCAGCUAGAUCUUUCAUUUCACACGCAGAAUGAGUGAACAGGGAUUUUUAUUUUACUGUAAAGACAAUCAAACCGUUACAAGUCCUGUACAUCCCUUUUCCCAUCCUCAUAAGUGCGACUGCCCAUGACGAGAGAACACUCGAGAUGAGGCUGCUGAAACUUUGCCCUCAGUCCCUCAUCCUGUCACAUGACUCAGCCUCAGUUCAGAUGAACGUUUCUCUCGUGCCGUCCCCGUCACUUUGGAAAAAACGUGACGAACGUUCCUGUAAAUAUGAACUUAAAGAAAUGUUUCUCUAUUCUAUGUAAUUACCAGAUGUUUAAAAAAGCGAGUUAUUUAUCUAUUUAAAACGGAGCGUCUGUGACGACGGUAUUGGUGGUCUUUCUUAGAUUUAGUGGCCUUCCUAAACAUUUCUGCAUCAUUCAGAUUUCAAAUAUUAAAAAAGGUCUAAAACAUGAAAUUUAUAUUAGAAGUGUAACGUUUCGGCUGCUCACGAUGAAAAAACCAAACAAAGCAAUUUUAAAAAUGAUACGAGACUAGCUUCACCUUUAGCAUGGGUUUAAAAAUAAAUCGAUGGUUUGAUCAAGAUUUCAGCUCCAGUUAGUCCCAAUAAAUGAAGAAGAAUAAUUAAAAGGAUAACAGUGAAGAGGUAAGCGAUGUUGUGGGAUUACGGUGGCGCUGGUGGUUCUGUUUGAUCUCUAUUCUGUACUGACGUGUUGGUUUUGCUGGUCGUGGCCUCGAGUGAACACUGUGUACAUAAUGUACAGCUUGGACUGUGUCUUUAAAAACACAUUUCCUGUUUCUGGAAUGGAGAAAAGGCCAGUUACAUCCGAAAUAUAUGAAUAUAAAAAAA